rnacentral:rRNA from 1 species
GAUGAACGCUGGCGGCGUGCCUAAUACAUGCAAGUCGAGCGAAUGGAUUAAGAGCUUGCUCUUAUGAAGUUAGCGGCGGACGGGUGAGUAACACGUGGGUAACCUGCCCAUAAGACUGGGAUAACUCCGGGAAACCGGGGCUAAUACCGGAUAACAUUUUGAACCGCAUGGGUCGAAAUUGAAAGGCGGCUUCGGCUGUCACCUAUGGAUGGACCCGCGUCGCAUUAGCUAGUUGGUGAGGUAACGGCUCACCAAGGCAACGAUGCGUAGCCGACCUGAGAGGGUGAUCGGCCACACUGGGACUGUGACACGGCCCAGACUCCUACGGGAGGCAGCAGUAGGGAAUCUUCCGCAAUGGACGAAAGUCUGACGGAGCAACGCCGCGUGAGUGAUGAAGGCUUUCGGGUCGUAAAACUCUGUUGUUAGGGAAGAACAAGUGCUAGUUGAAUAAGCUGGCACCUUGACGGUACCUAACCAGAAAGCCACGGCUAACUACGUGCCAGCAGCCGCAGUAA